rnacentral:rRNA from 1 species
UACGUAGGGUGCGAGCGUUAAUCGGAAUUACUGGGCGUAAAGGGUGCGCAGGCGGCUUCGCAAGUCAGACGUGAAAUCCCCGAGCUUAACUUGGGAAUUGCGUUUGAAACUACGAGGCUGGAGUGUGGCAGAGGGAGGUGGAAUUCCACGUGUAGCGGUGAAAUGCGUAGAUAUGUGGAGGAACACCGAUGGCGAAGGCAGCCUCCUGGGCUAACACUGACGCUCAUGCACGAAAGCGUGGGGAGCAAACAGG